rnacentral:tRNA from 1 species
CGGACUGUAGCGCAGCUUGGUAGCGCACCGUCAUGGGGUGUCGGGGGUCGGAGGUUCAAAUCCUCUCAGUCCGAC